rnacentral:lncRNA from 1 species
CACACCAGCCCACGCCAGGCAGUCAGCAGGAAGGUGCAAAGACAGAUUUAACAAGGCAGUUCCUUGCCAAUCAUCAUGUGCAUUAAAGAAGAUGGGACAGAAUGAAGAAUGAAAAUCCUAAGGGAAUCCUAAACAGAGAGACAUAAAUAGGAGUUUAAAGGGUGAAUUGCAUCAUUUGCCCUGCUUACAGGUACCUACUCAGGCAGCAAAAUGUUAUUGCCUGCUGAAACCAGCUUCUGCUUAAUUCUGCCAACUGGCAAAAUAUUUAUUAUCCCACGUUUAAUAGGUGUCACUGCAGACCCGGACUGCUAAAUGGGUGCCUUCUUCUGGAUUGAACUCAAAGUAAGCACGGACCAAGGUACAAAAAUAAUCAAAACAAGUUGCUAUUGAAUAGGAUUUGCAAGUGAGGAUUCUUGCAAGCAGAAGGCUGAGGCUGAAAAGUGAAA